GCCUCGGUGGUGUACUGGUUAGAUCACGCGUCCCCGGUUAGGAUGAAACGCGGGUGGGUUCGAUUCCCGGCUGAGGCC